rnacentral:tRNA from 3 species
GCGGGAGUGGUGAAACCGGUAGACACGCAGGAUUUAGGUUCCUGUGCCUUCGGGCGUGUGGGUUCGAGUCCCACCUUCCGCA